rnacentral:misc_RNA from 1 species
GAUGAAGAACGCAGCGAAAUGCGAUAAGUAGUGUGAAUUGCAGAAUUCAGUGAAUCAUCGAAUCUUUGAACGCACAUUGCGCCCUUUGGUAUUCCAAAGGGCAUGCCUGUUCGAGCGUCAUUUGUACCCUCAAGCUUUGCUUGGUGUUGGGCGUCUUGUCUCUAGCUUUGCUGGAGACUCGCCUUAAAGUAAUUGGCAGCCGGCCUACUGGUUUCGGAGCGCAGCACAAGUCGCACUCUCUAUCGGCAAAGGUCUAGCAUCCACUAAGCCUUUUUUUCAACUUUUGACCUCGGAUCAGGUAGGGAUACCCGCUGAACUUAAGCAUAUCAAUAAGCGGAGGA